GUACUCUGUUUCAGGGGUGGCCCGAGGAAGAAACACUGGACCUCAGUAGCGUAAAGGGAAAAAGAUGGAAUUGGUAUGAAGAGUACCUUUACAGCCAGGGACUGGAUGGCCUGAAAGUCUUCAUUGAAAGCAGUAUUAGACGUAGAACCUAAAGAUAACUUCAUCUGUGCUGCACAAAAACAUGUACAAAACAAUGUGCUUUUUAGCAAAGGCUUGGACUAUUGCACAGUAUACAGUAUACUUCCAUCUCACAGACAUAUUUAAUUCACACUGAAAUGUGAAAACUCUGCAACUACAAUUUUUUAUGAUUGCAAAGUGUGUUUUAAAGUUGAAAAAUAAUGUUUUUGUGAAGCUGCAUAACUGAGAAAUACCCAUGGAAUUAAAGGCUGUGCAGGAUCUUUU